rnacentral:lncRNA from 1 species
GUUUGGGACAACGACAGUCUUUUACUGGCUAGCUGCACUUGUUCUUUCUAAACCAGUAAUUCCAGAUUUAGAGUCUCAACACUUUGUCACUUUUUAUUUGUGACUCCUAAAGGAAUGCCCAAGGGGAAUUUGAUUUCAGAAGUGACGCUCACAGCUGGAACAGAAGUGAGGGCUUGCAAGUGAGGGAUUAUGACUAAAAAUGGGGUUGUGGUUCCAUAAACACCAUUAGCAGGUGUUCUUCUUCCAUAUUGCUACUUUUCAGACACAGAAACAGCUCCUAUUUCAGCUAAUUGUCUUUCAGAAGUAUAUUUUGAGAAACGAAACCAAGCCUAUGAUCAAGGAUGCACAGAAUCGAAAGCCACUCUCUCCUCACAGCUCAGAUGUGAAAUCAAUUCCCCCGCAACAUGGACUUGUCAAGUUUAGCUAAAUACUCUUCCAGAAAUUCAUUGCUCGAAGUCACUCUCAUCAGGAAAUCAAACCUUCUUAAAAGUAGUUCCUAUUUGGACUGCUUUUGGCUGUUUCACUGUGCCAAUGACAUUCAUUACAACCAACCACAGUUACCAGAAAAAUAG